rnacentral:rRNA from 1 species
GUGUCAGCCGCCGCGGUAAUACGGAGGGUGCAAGCGUUGCUCGGAAUUACUGGGCGUAAAGGGCGUGUAGGCGGUUUCGUAUGUCUGGCGUGAAAGCCCCGGGCUCACCUCGGGAAGUGCGUCGGAAACUGCGAGACUAGAGUCCCGGAGAGGGAGGUGGAAUUCCAGGUGUAGCGGUGAAAUGCGUAGAUAUCUGGAAGAACACCGGUGGCGAAAGCGGCCUCCUGGACGGUGACUGACGCUGAGACGCGAAAGCGUGGGGAGCAAACAGGAUUAGAAACCCGCGUAGUCC